rnacentral:rRNA from 1 species
UACGAAGGUGGCAAGCGUUGUUCGGAUUUACUGGGCGUACAGGGAGCGUAGGCGGUUGGAUAAGCCCUCCGUGAAAUCUCCAGGCUUAACCUGGAAAAGUGCAGAGGGGACUGUUCAGCUAGAGGAUGGGAGAGGAGCGCGGAAUUCCCGGUGUAGCGGUGAAAAUGCGUAGAGAUCGGGAGGAAGGCCGGUGGCGAAGGCGGCGCUCUGGAACAUUUCUGACGCUGAGGCUCGAAAGCGUGGGGAGCAAACAGG